rnacentral:rRNA from 1 species
UACGUAGGGUGCAAGCGUUGUCCGGAAUUAUUGGGCGUAAAGAGCUCGUAGGCGGCUUGUCGCGUCGGCUGUGAAAACUCGGGGCUCAACCCCGAGCCUGCAGUCGAUACGGGCAGGCUGGAGUCCGGCAGGGGAGACUGGAAUUCCUGGUGUAGCGGUGAAAUGCGCAGAUAUCAGGAGGAACACCGAUGGCGAAGGCAGGUCUCUGGGCCGAUACUGACGCUGAGGAGCGAAAGCGUGGGGAGCGAACAGG